rnacentral:rRNA from 1 species
GACCUGGCUGGGUGGUCUUGCCGAGAGGUAAGCACUGCCCUGGUCGGGUCUUUCCUUCUGGGGAACCAUCGUGCUCUUAACUGGGUGUGGUGGGGAUCCAGGACUUUUACUUUGAAAAAAUUAGAGUGUUUAAAGCAGGCUUGCGCUUGAAUACAUUAGCAUGGAAUAAUAGAAUAGGACUUUGGUUCUAUUUUGUUGGUUUCUAGGACCGAAGUA